rnacentral:rRNA from 1 species
GUGGGGAAUAUUGGACAAUGGGCGAAAGCCUGAUCCAGCAAUGCCGCGUGAGUGAUGAAGGCCCUAGGGUUGUAAAGCUCUUUUACCAGGGAUGAUAAUGACAGUACCUGGAGAAUAAGCUCCGGCUAACUCCGUGCCAGCAGCCGCGGUAAUACGGAGGUAGCUAGCGUUGUUCGGAAUUACUGGGCGUAAAGCGCGCGUAGGCGGUUUUUUAAGUCAGAGGUGAAAGCCCGGGGCUCAACCCCGGAAUUGCCUUUGAAACUGGAAAACUUGAAUCUUGGAGAGGUCAGUGGAAUUCCGAGUGUAGAGGUGAAAUUCGUAGAUAUUCGGAAGAACACCAGUGGCGAAGGCGACUGACUGGACAAGUAUUGACGCUGAGGUGCGAAAGCGUGGGGAGCAAACAGGAUUAGAAACCCCUGUAGUCC